rnacentral:misc_RNA from 1 species
AGGAAGUACUCUCAGAGACAGAUACUUAAUCAUUUGGGUUUCGAGACGUUUGUUGGUGGCAACCUUGGAGUUCCACUCUCAGAUGCUGUUUUUCAUUCGCCUGACCGGAGAUCUUUAGAGGUGGCAGUGGUGGAGGUGAGUAGUUAUCAGCUGGAAAUCCCACCGAAAUACUUUUGUCCUUCGGUUGCUGUGAUACUAAAUCUUACUCCUGAUCAUCUUGAACGACACCACACGAUGAAAAACUAUGCUGCAAUCAAGUGUCGUAUCUUUUCUCAGAUGAGAGGGAAGAAAAUUGGUGUUGUUCCACUUGGAAAUCCAUAUCUGGAUGAAGCAGUUAUGGAUCAUGCGGAUGGCGUUAGUCUUGCUUGGAUUGGAGGUUCUCCUGGUGUGAACGUUGAUGUGGAGGCGAAG